UCUCGACAAAUCGACUCUAGUGCUUGGGAUCUUUUGUGCAACAUGAUUUGCCUCGAAUACAAUGGGCACACUAGCGACAUUACUUAUCUAGGGACUAAAUAAUCUUAUAUUUGCAUGUUAUCUGUUUUGAGUGUAGUAUUCGUUUCUCCCUCUCCACGGUUAAAUGAAGCUACCUAAUUAUGAGUACGAAAACUACCAAUUUUUGAGUUCGCCUAAGCGAACUGCGAUUUUGAGUAACUUUGAUUAAGUGAAAUUUGUAGAAAAAACUCAUAUGAUGGAUCAAUGCACCAUAUCUAUGUUUGAAUGAAAUGUUUUGAAUUUUCGCUGCUCGAGAGGUUAUUGUUUACCUAAUUUUGGAUGAAAAUUUUUAACCUGCCAGUGCUGUCAAGAAAGAAACAGUUGUGAAAUCAACAGUGUUCUUUUCUACGAGUGCUUAAAAUUCGGGUUUCUAGUGAAAGAAGGUUUGGAGUUGUAUUUUGUUUGCUUUGAAAUAUUCAAAAUGAAUAAAAUAUCCUCAUCGAUUAGCGAAAGACUUCCUUCCGAAAGCAAAACCACCCGCACAGAAAGUGGUAUCGCCUGCGGGGCCACUGAACCAGAGAAUGAACUACUGGUGUGCGCCAGAGUGGCACGGGCCAGAUUUUGGUUUUCCGGAAAUUUACAGCGUUGAAGGUCCCACCAAGAAAACGAACGGACACACCUCAAGAUCGAUUGUGUGAUAAGCAACUUUCGGUUGUUGGAGGGAAUAUAAACAAUGUUAUAAACAUUA